GAGCGUUUCUCAGCUCCUUCUCCCCGAGAGGCAACAGGGGAGGGUGGUCCCGGUUCCCUGCAAUGGAGACGGUGCUGGAAGCGAUGGAGGAGUGGAGGAGAUGUAUAAACAUGGAGGCAGCAUGCCUAAUUAAUGACCUGAAACAGCGGGAAAGAGGAAAUCGGUUCAUUGGCUCGAGCAUUCAGCACAGCGAUUGAGAGCAGCCUGGAUCUGGAGCAUCAAGUGAGCAUCACUAGAACCAUCUGAAACCGAGAGGAAAGAGGCUGCAAGUGAGGAAGGGGGGCUGGAGGCCGUGUGCUCUGCAGAAAAAAAGAAAAAGACAAGCUUCUCAUUGCUGGACAUCUCUGAUAAAAUAAUUUCUGGUGGAGGCUGCCUUUUCUUCAUCUGUGCAUGUGGCAUUGCUGCAAAGAAUUCAUCUUAAGUUUGACACCUUAAGGUGUUACUGAAAGAUUCCCUGUAAAAAAUGAAAUAAAUGUAUAAAUAUUUAGGACUCUGCACCCAAACUUCUUUUCUGAACUGACUGAACUUUUUUGAGAAGUGAAAAGAUGAAUUCUGGUCUUUUGCUACCAGGAUAACUUUUGGCACUAGAAGAAUUUGGACAAACUGCUCCUCUUGCAGACCAAACCAUGCAGGGUUGGACCCUGAGUGUGGCAGACCUGGCAGCUUGGCUACUGGGAUGCUGAGUUAUACCCUGCUGGAGCUCCCCCUUUUUCCAGCUUAUUCCUGCAGCCACAGAUCCUGGAUAAUCUAGUGAUAAGCCCUCUCUGUGUAAGACUGAGCUUGUUCUUGGUUCCACGAUGCAGAUACUUGAGCUGAAAUGGCUCCUUGAGCAGGGUUUGUCAGAGUGAAGUUCCUGUUUUUAAUUUAGGCAACCUUUCCUUGGCACAAACAGCUCUCCAUGCUCAUUGUCUCUGCUGUGCUGUUACCCAGACAGGGCACGCUUCCACAGGGGACACCAAAUUCAGCACUGAGCUUUUCUUUUCCCCAGGGAGUACCCAAAACACAGAGAAGUGGCAUGAUCCCAGUCAACCACAUGGCCAACAUGAAAAGGGAGUGGAGUCUCCCUGUUUUUUUCUUGGUUAUGGGUUUGACCUGUAACCUAAGCGCAACCCAAAGAUUUAUCCUUCAGAGAUGCUAGCUAAAAGUAAUCCUGAAUUUAUUAUUUUAAAACAAAUAUCUUGUGGCUUUAAACCAGCCUCAAAAUCUAGUGGGGACAGAAGAGUUAAAAUGACCAGUUCACCUGACUUGCUUACUUUGAAAGAUUUACCAUCUAGGGCCUCUGGCGUUGCUGUCUCAGGGUAAUGAAGAUGCAUCCGAUACAUUCUGAGAAGCAGUAUAAUUGCUUUCAUCAACACCAGUCAGUCUUUGGGUGAGAUGGCUUUUAAACAGUGCAGCAGGGAGGAAAAGAAAAGCUAAAUGCUGCUCUGCUGAGUUGGGCACGCACUGAGGAGAGCAAGGUAAGCAGUGUUGGAUGCAGAGCAAUCUUUCAUCACUGUUGGCUCUGUGGGGACUAAUUAGAGAAUGUUGCUCUGGCUGCUGUGACUGGUAUGGAUGGGAUUUGCUCCAAACAGGGUUUUCUGUAGUCAAAUAAGAUGGUUGUAGCAACAGAUGCAAUGGUGGCAACUGCCUUUAAAGCCCAGUAUUGAUUGGCUUAAACCUUUGCUUUGGAAAUUAUCUGCUCCUAUUGUAGCUGUUGCUCAUUGUUCCCAGAAAUGCCUGCUCCUGACCCUGCUGCUGGGUGAUGUGAGAGAUGUGAAUGCCAUUGCUAUGUAACCAUUUCACAUUGCAUGUUCAAUUAAACAUGUGUGUUAAACAUUG
ensembl:lncRNA